rnacentral:rRNA from 1 species
CUCAUAUUGAACGCUGGCGGCAGGCCUAACACAUGCAAGUCGAACGGUAACAGGAAGAAGCUUGCUUCUUUGCUGACGAGUGGCGGACGGGUGAGUAAUGUCUGGGAAACUGCCUGAUGGAGGGGGAUAACUACUGGAAACGGUAGCUAAUACCGCAUAACGUCGCAAGACCAAAGAGGGGGACCUUCGGGCCUCUUGCCAUCGGAUGUGCCCAGAUGGGAUUAGCUAGUAGGUGGGGUAAAGGCUCACCUAGGCGACGAUCCCUAGCUGGUCUGAGAGGAUGACCAGCCACACUGGAACUGAGACACGGUCCAGACUCCUACGGGAGGCAGCAGUGGGGAAUAUUGCACAAUGGGCGCAAGCCUGAUGCAGCCAUGCCGCGUGUAUGAAGAAGGCCUUCGGGUUGUAAAGUACUUUCAGCGGGGAGGAAGGGAGUAAAGUUAAUACCUUUGCUCAUUGACGUUACCCGCAGAAGAAGCACCGGCUAACUCCGUGCCAGCAGCCGCGGUAAUACGGAGGGUGCAAGCGUUAAUCGGAAUUACUGGGCGUAAAGCGCACGCAGGCGGUUUGUUAAGUCAGAUGUGAAAUCCCCGGGCUCAACCUGGGAACUGCAUCUGAUACUGGCAAGCUUGAGUCUCGUAGAGGGGGGUAGAAUUCCAGGUGUAGCGGUGAAAUGCGUAGAGAUCUGGAGGAAUACCGGUGGCGAAGGCGGCCCCCUGGACGAAGACUGACGCUCAGGUGCGAAAGCGUGGGGAGCAAACGGGAUUAGAUACCCUGGUAGUCCACGCCGUAAACGAUGUCGACUUGGAGGUUGUGCCCUUGAGGCGUGGCUUCCGGAGCUAACGCGUUAAGUCGACCGCCUGGGGAGUACGGCCGCAAGGUUAAAACUCAAAUGAAUUGACGGGGGCCCGCACAAGCGGUGGAGCAUGUGGUUUAAUUCGAUGCAACGCGAAGAACCUUACCUGGUCUGGACAUCCACAGAACUUUCCAGAGAUGGAUUGGUGCCUUCGGGAACUGUGAGACAGGUGCUGCAUGGCUGUCGUCAGCUCGUGUUGUGAAAUGUUGGGUUAAGUCCCGCAACGAGCGCAACCCUUAUCCUUUGUUGCCAGCGGUCCGGCCGGGAACUCAAAGGAGACUGCCAGUGAUAAACUGGAGGAAGGUGGGGAUGACGUCAAGUCAUCAUGGCCCUUACGACCAGGGCUACACACGUGCUACAAUGGCGCAUACAAAGAGAAGCGACCUCGCGAGAGCAAGCGGACCUCAUAAAGUGCGUCGUAGUCCGGAUUGGAGUCUGCAACUCGACUCCAUGAAGUCGGAAUCGCUAGUAAUCGUGGAUCAGAAUGCCACGGUGAAUACGUUCCCGGGCCUUGUACACACCGCCCGUCACACCAUGGGAGUGGGUUGCAAAAGAAGUAGGUAGCUUAACCUUCGGGAGGGCGCUUACCAC